CGGUUUCUGGGCCCGGGUAUGGGGAUUUCUUCACCCGGCCCCCUAGGCUUUCACCUCGGUGGAAUUUCCCGCGCCCCCGCUGGGAUGAUUUAGGGACUGUUGGCUAGAACUGCCCUUGCCUACCGCCCUACUGCGGGCGCUCCCCUGUCUGGGGGGUGCUUGGCUGGGUGUGGAGAAGGAUCAAUCACAGCUGACUCCUCAGAGGUGACAGCCCCUGCCCCCUUAAAAACAAGAAAAGACCUAGCAGUGUGAAGCCAAACUGCACCCCCAGCCCCGGUGACAUGAGGAAACCGUGAGGCGCUCAGCCUGAGGUUCAUCGUUCAUCUCCUUCCUGCUUGGAAUCAGAAUGUCCUCACUGCUGAGUUUCUCCGUUUUAUGGGAUUACAUUAGUGGACAAAGGAGGAAGUCCCAGCCGGGAACACAGAAAGGAUAUGGAGAAAAUUAUUAUUCUGCCCCUACAGUUUCGGUGACCCAGAUGGGAUCUCUGGGACACCCUGCCUGCUCUACAAUUGGGAUCCCUGGAAAAGUGACAGAAUCUGGCAACAGAUGAGUAAGAAAGGUCACUUCCUGGCAGACCUCAGGUAUAUUGGGGACAUCAAGAAAAGAAUAAUUCAUCAAAGUCUAUAGAUAUUGCAGGCAAAGUUGAAACAAGCCAGACAAGUUCUCUUUGUAUUCUUGAGAGACUUGGAAAGUCUAACCUGAGAUUCCUUAUUAAAAGUUCCAGCAAAACAGACUUAAAAA